AUGCACCUCAGACUAGCAUCAGGAAUUAAUUCAAGAGGGUUCGUUCUUGGAUUUGGGGGAAAGUUUAAUAUUAAUAUUAGGAUGUUGUAGUUUUGUUUUGUUUUGUUUUGUUUGUUUGUUUUACGGAGUUUCGCUCUUGUUACCCAGGCUGGAGUGCAAUGGAGCGAUCUCGGCUCCCGGCAACCUCCGCCUCCCGGGUUCAUGCGAUUCUCCUGCCUUAGCCUACCGAGUAGCUGGGACCACAGGCGCGUGCCACCACGGCCAGCUGAAUUUUUGUAUUUUUAGUAGAGACAGGGUUUCACUGUGUUAGCCAGGAUGGUCUCGAUCUCCUGACCUCAUGAUCCGCCCUCCUCGGCCUCCCAGAGUGCUGGGAUUGCAGGCGUGAGCCGCCCCGUCCGGCAAGGCUGGAGCAUUUUUAAAAAGUCAGCCUGCUCGCGUACUUUGGAAAAAGCAGCAUCCUGUGGGAUGAAGAACCCAGUAAUGAAAAGCAAGACUUCGUUACACAAUGUGUGGAGCCCAAAGUCCUGUGAACCGCACUGGUCACAGACCCAUGAAGCUGGCCCUGAUGAGAGGUGUAGAAGAGAUCAUCCCCAACAAAGAAACAAGCCGUUUUCUUGUUUCUUUACCUUCUCCUAAGAGAUAGAAAAGUAGGUGUUCAACAAUGCCAGUUUUGAACUGAGGAAGCAGGAGAUGCUUAUUCACCACAAAGACUUGCUACCCUGUCCUGCCCGGUUUGAAUCCUGAAGUGAAAGAAGUGAGAGUGCAGAAAAACUCCUUUGUCUUCUACCAGUGCUGAGCUCAGACUCUGGGUAUUGUUGAGAGAGCAUCCCCUUUUGAAAAGGCUGCAAAAAAAGAAAUGGAGUGGAAGUCCUAAGCAUUUAUGGAGACAUCAGAGGAGGGCACAGACACAUCACCACAUGAACAGGUGUCACAGACACACCAUCACAUGAACAGGGGGCGCAGACACACCCUCUGCACUGAGUUAGGACAAUCGCCU
rnacentral:lncRNA from 10 species